GCUCUUGUGGCGUAGUGGUAGCGCGUCGCACUUGUACCGAAAUUGCAUGCGAAGGUCACUCGUUCAAUCCGGGUCGGGAGCA